GGUGGUAGCUAACUUAGUCCCCAUCAUUUUAUAUGUAUAGGGAUUAUUUUCUAGCGUGCAUUACUUUACCUUUAUCAAUAUUAAAAUUCAUCUGCCAUUUUGUUGCCUAGUCAUGUAGUUUCUUGAGAUCCUUUUGAAGCUCUUCACAGUGUGCUUUGGACUGCUUUGGUUCCAGUACCUGUGGGACACUACUAGUCACUUCUCUCCAUUUUGAAAAUCGACCAUUUAUUUUUACCCUUUUUUCCCUAUCUUUUAACCAGUUAUCAGUCUAGGAGAAGACCUUCCCUCUUAUCCCAUGGGAGCUAACUUUGUCAAAGGGUCUUUGGUGAGGAACCUUGUCAAAGGCUUUCUGGAAAUCUACGUACACUGUAUCUACUGGAUCCCCCUUGUCCAUAUGCAAACGUGCAGUGAAAUGUGAACACGCUGCAUUGUACAUUACUUAUGGAUUUGGGAUCAGGUUCAUAUUAAAGAACCUAACUAAAGAGUCAGGCUUUACACAAAUCCUUAGUCUGCUGAAGCUGAUAGUACUUACCUGGGAAAACCUCAAGCCUUGUUCAUUUCAGAAUUAAACCUCUGGUUCAAGUUUGGUUAUUUAUAGCUGUGUCUGUGGUGCUCACGACUGGCUUUUGAGGGCCUCACCACACUUAAAUAUCACAGCCAUUACCUGUAGAAGGCAAAGCUCUCUACGCCUUCCUUUUGCUAGGCUGCUAGAGAGGUAGGGGCUGCUUAUUGGUUGCUACUCCAUCAAGAGUAUUGCACUUCUGGCUGUGUGGAUGAAGAUGGAGAUUCUCUCUUCUACACUUGCUUUCCCCCUGACUAAUGACUGAGGAGUCUUUAUUUCUCUUGUGUAGCUGGACUAGCACCUGGAACUAUGAGUGGCUCAAGGAAAGCGUCCAUAGUGGCUUUGGAUUCCAGAUUUCUUCUGAAUCGUCUGUAUUUGGUUUCCAGAAUCUUGCUCUACAUUUUCCUGUGUUGCUGGCAAGGUUUCCGCUAGGAGUUCCCAUCCAUGUGUGUAAUAAUUUUUAUGUGCACUGAGGCAUAAAUGAAUGUGCACCAGCAACAGAAACAAAACCUCGCUGUGGGCACUUUGUUAAUCAGCGGGGUGGCAUUGGAAUCUCUCCUGCACAAGCGCCUAGCGGACAAGGAACCCGGGUUGUUGGUAAUAACAAGGGGUCCUAGAAAUCCAUUUGCCAUGGAAAUAUACAGAAUUUGCAUUUUUACCAAGACUGUUUAGUUUUUACAUUUAGUGAAAAAAUAAAAACAGGCGGGAGAACCCUGUUUAUUUGAGCCUUUGUUAUUGGCUCUGUGUUAACUGAAUCAUGCCCUGAGCCCUUGUUGUGUGAGCCAGCCACCCUGACAGCCGGUGGUUUGGCUAAUACGGAGAGCUGGGUUCUGGAGGCUCAGGUAAACGGGGUCCAUUCUGGAUUCGUAUGUUUUCUAAUUGGAGAGUUUUGGACUUUUUAUCAUGAGAAACUAGAAUCCAGGGUAAGAAUAGGGACCAUCAAUAGAGACCGACUCUUCCUUUCUAUCACGCUGUUACAUGGGGUACGAGAGCCUUCCUAGUGGCACCCUGGAGGCAAAUUACCUGGCUGCUAUUGUCAUAAGUCUCAAACUCUGCUACCGAUGCUCCUGGGGAGGGGGCUCUUGAUAUCAAGACAGCUUGCAUGUGUCACAUUUAGUAUUGCAAAUGAGUUGGUUGUCUUAGUCCAGCUCUUAGCAGAGAUGUUCCUGAUACAGAUCAUCCUGCUACCCAGAAGGGACAGUCCCUGUUUUUUAGGAACAGAGUUACCAUUUACCUGUGUGUUCCUGGUGGGGAAGCUGAAGACAGGACAAGCUGUGGAGACUUGGGCGUAGUCAAUACCUCCAGCACAGGGUGAGGCCAAGGUGGAAGGGUGGCAUAUAGUGCCCAUUCUGCGCUUGUUCUCUCUCCUGUGCUUAACUGCAUAGUGCUUGUCACAAGCCUCCCGACUGAGGGCAAUGUCAUCCCUGCUUCACAGUGAAGGGCUAAGGUGGAUUUUCAAGCCCACCUAAGGGACUUAGACCUCAGCUCCCAUUAACACGCCAAGGGAUUUAUGCUUUUGAAAACUCCCCCCUUUCUGGGAGUCCAUGAAGGAGCAGGGAAUUGAGCCCAGCCUCAGUCAGGAUCACCCUUUGGGUCUGCAGUCGCAGGCUCUGAACUCAGCACCCUUUAAAAAAGGAAAUUAUGGCAGACUGUAGGAGAGACAUUGAAGUCAUGCUCCCAGGUUAAAAAUCAUAUUUUUAAAUCAGUCUCGUCCUAACUCACCUUAAAUUCUUGACAUGAAAAGAAGCUUUUGUGUUUAUGUUGUCUGUGUAGAUAGAGUGAAAUCAAAGUUUACUUUUCACAGUUCUCCCAAAUUGGCUACCAAAACAGUUAGUCUUUCUUUUGCUGGUAUUCAUAUUGAUUUUGGAGAUUUUUAAGGUUGCAAACGCUGGAGGGGAAAGUUUUAUCUAAAAAAAUCAUCCAUUAGAAUAAAAAACUUGUCCUAGAUUUGGUAGUGUCCUAGAUUUGUCUGUGCUCUGAAAUCAAAAUUUUGUAGGUAAAUUAGAGUGGCCAGUGUCUCUUGACACCGAAAUCCGGGAUUCCAUGCUGUGAUGUGACUUCCAACAUUGGAAUCUCUCUGCAAAAGGACCUGCCCACACUGUGAAGUGGGGGAAUUGUAUUGACACAUGCGUCUUUCAUUUAGUGUAGGGUCAAUACAUGCUUUUGCUAGCUUUCCUUACUCUGACACUGUGGACAUGUGUAGAGCUUGACUGCUUAUUAGGAAUUUUCAGUGUGGGUUAGGGAGCAUGCGAUAUAUCCCUUGGGAUAGGUGAAACUGGCCUUCAGACCUCCUGUGACCUGGCUUCGAAGGCGAGCAUGACCUUUGACCUAAAUGUCUGAAGUAAAUCUCCAUCUGACUUUGAUAAUCAAGAAUGCUUUCCUAUGACAAAAACACAAAUCCUUUGACUUGUUGGCAAUGGACUCAGCCAGCCCUCCUCGAACAGGGAUGCAAACAAAGAUCAGCAACUAGGACUUGCAUUGCAUAGCAGUUCCAAGAAAAAUAUUUCCUGCCUUCAUGUCCAAUUCAUCUUACUAAUUGCACAGAAUUGCCACAUGCAAUCCAAACUGCACAUGCCAUAUUGGAGAUUGUGUUACCCUCAUCGCCAGGUUAAUGUUACAUUCCCAUGUGUUUCUUUAAUCAUUUUCAGGUGUCUCUCUUUGUUAGAGAGCAAGAACAACCCCUCACCUGGGACCUGCUGUACAGUGAGCACAGAGAUUGGCAUCUGCUGCUGCUGUACAUUUCAAGUUGCUCACUUAUUGGAGAAAGACUCUUCUGGUUUCAGAAGAUAUCUUCACGUAGCUAAGCCCGCGUCAGGACGGCGGCAGGCGAUAUAAUGCGGAAGCCAGGCCCUCAGAAAGCCAUAGACUGGAAAGAUGGUAGAAAGCACAAGUACAGUCGCCCAUCAGAGUCGCCUUCCCAGUACCAAGGUCACUUCACCUGGGAGAAAUACCUGAAAGAAACAUGCGCCGUCCCCGCGCCUGCCCACUGCUUCAAGCAGGUAAUCGGCCGGGGAACGGGCGGGAUCCC